UGCCAUUUUGGGUAAAUCAGUAUUACACAAGCCUAUUAAUAUCAAACCUCCCCUUCCAUAGACUUGGAUGGGGAGGAGAUCUGUUCUGUGCACCGCAGGUCAGCCUGGGUGUUCGUUAACAGACAUUACUGGUUAUUCUCAUGUUUAUGCUUGUCUCCCUAGUCAUUUGCUCUGUUUUCUCCAGGGGUUUAAAUGCUGCUAUGCAGCCACUCACUCGACAAAUGAUUGAAAUAUAUAUAACUACAAAGAAAACCAUCACAAGACGCUUUGAUGGCAGUCAUCAACAGCCAGGCUGAGGCUGUUCUUGGAGUGGUGUAGAUCAGGAGUUCUGAAAACAACAACAACAACAACAACAACAAUAACAACAACAACAACAACGUAUGGUCAACUGAUGAGACUCAGAAUCUCUGUGGGCCAAGAAGUGAGACUUGUUUUGUAGCUCACCGUGAGAAGAUUUGAAAUGAAGAGUUCAAAGAACUGGUCUCUGAUGAAUGGCAUUGGGAUGGUGAGGUCUGGAAAAAGAUGGGAAAAAGGACUUCAGCUUUCAUCAAGAGCCCUUCUCUAACAAACACUAGAUGUAUUAUUUCGUGUAUUCAUUAUUCUGAUAAAACGUGAAAAAUCAUAUGAAAAUAGAGUAUAAAUAAUUCUAUUAAUCUGAAACAAUUUAGUUCUUUAGAAUGUGUCUUAAUAUAUUAUUCUUCAGUAUAGUAUUGUUUUACAUAUACAAAAACUACUGAAUUAUCAUAGUAAAACAUACAAACAAUUUUGAUACAGUAAAUGUUUCUCUUAACUUUGAUCAAACUUUAUUUGCCACUCUGGUAAUAUUCUCUAGUUGGUCCUAUGAGACCAUUAUCUAUACUCUUAAAUUAUACAUAUAGGUACCUAGAGCAGCUUGUUUGAUUUUAUUUGUGUAUAUAACUUUAACAUAAAUAGACCCCUCUAAAUAUCAAUAUGGAAUUCUUUUUUAACUUGUUGAUAUAUUUCAGUGAGAGUUUAAUUUCAGUAUGCAUAGAUUUGCCUUAUGGUACAUUUCUUUUUGUGCUCUUUAUUUUUUUCAUAUUUAGGAGAAGAAUUUCUAGACAAUAGGAUAUAGGCACUUUGAACUUUAUACUCUUUCACAGACUAUAUGAAAAUGCAUGUUUUCCCAAAUCUUCACCUAUAAAGGGUGAAAUACAAUGUAUCACAAUACUAUGUCAAUAUAUUAUUGCUCUAUUGUGGUUUGAUUUUAAAUUCCUUGAUUCAUAUUCUGUUACAUUAUUUGAUUUACUUUUCAUUUUGCUGGAGUACUUAAGUUACUUUUAAGCAAAUGCAUGGUGAUGGAAUAAAUGUUUUGACUACUUAAAUGUCUGAAGUCUAUGAUAACAAAUUUUUAAUUUUAGAUGAAAUGAAGAAAUUUCAAGAAAACUGCAACUUACUAAAACUGACACAAGAAGAAAGUCUAAAAUUUUUCAUAUUUAUGUAAUUGAAUCUGUUACAAAUGAAAGGAAGGAUUUCUUUAUAUAUUCUGGAUAGUAAUCACUUUUUAUAAUACAUGUUUGAAAUACCUUUCACCCACUUGUCACUUGACUUUUAAUACCCUCUAUGGUGCUCUCUGACACAUAGAAGUUUUAAAAAUGUAAGUAGAAUGUCCAAGAUAUUACUAGUGUUUCCUGAUGUGCCUUGUUCAUCUUACCUUUUGGGAAAACAGAAGGUUGCUUGGUCUGUUUCCUGUUAAUUUAGGCAUGGCCAUGUGACUGUCUUUGCCCAGUGACAUGUCACUUCCAGGGGAAAUCAUUUGAGUCAGUUUACAAUUCUCCAUGUCGUUCUUUCCCUAGAGCAUUGACCAAGGUGGUGUAUAUUCUAAAUGGUACAGCUAUUCAAUAGCGGAGGAAUAGAAAAAAAUAGCAAACAAAUGAUAAGAAUGUAGAUUUAAACCCUGUUAUUGAUGAAAUACUUAAACACAUUAAAAAACAGUGCCACUGGAUAAAAAAGAAAGUCUUACUAUUAUAAUAUAUGCUGCUUCCUAGAGAUAUGUCUUAAAUAUAAGAAACCAGAAGGUUAAAAAUAAAAGUAUGGAAAAGCAUGUUCAGAAAAACCUAAUAAAACAAAUCUACCUUGAAUAUGCCAAUAUUAGAUUAAGUCUAUUUUAAGGAAAGAAGCAUUACUAGAGAUAAAAAAUUCAUCAUAAUUAAAGGGUCAAACAACUAGGGAGACUUAACAAUUCUUAAUUAAAAUGAAAACCUAAUUGCAUAGCUCAAAUAAUAUACAUAUAUAAAGAAAAGCACAUAAAGCCAAAAUUGAUACAAAUAAAAAUAUACAGAUCUACACUUGUCUCAGAAAGUGAUACAACAAACAGAUGCAAUAUUGGUAAGGACAUAGAAGAGCUCAACGCUUUGUUCCACAGCAUGAUUGAUAUGUAUAAAAUACUGCACCCAUCAAUUCAGUGAUGUACUCCUUUUAAGUACUCACAGAUUAUUUAACUAAAUUGCUCAUGUUUAGGGCUACAAAGCAAGUCAACAGAUUGCAAGCAAUUAAAAGCUUGCAGAGUAUGUCUAUUGACCAUAGCUCAAAUAAACUAGACAUAAAAACAAAAUGCUAGAUAGACAGUACCCAAAUGUUUUAAAAUUAAACAACUUACCCUUAAAUAACCCAAGAAAUGGAAUCUGUUAUAAAUGAAAAGAGAAGGAGUGUCUAGAAGUCAGUAGAUUUUAAUAGUUAAGGAAGCUUGAGACCUAAAAGAACAAGUGUUUCUUUCACAAAUGGAUGUGAAUUGCACUACGGAGUAGGAGAGACUCCAGUACCACCUCUGGAACUUGAGGGCUCCGAGGUGUAAAAAUGAAUAUUCUUUACUACAGAGAGCAGCAGAGAACCUGUACUAUCAGAGGAGAGUUCUAUUUCAAUUGGGAGAGAAAAUUAGAGGCACAUAUUGGUGAAGAAGCUUAGGAUUUUUUGAAAUACCUGAAAUUCAGAAACAUAAUUAUGAAUACACAUAUUACUAGAAAAUUUCAAUGCAGGUUAAAGGUAGUGACAGGCAAAUGCUGUGUUUAAAUAAAAAAUUGAUCUUACUCUUUUGGUAUUUAUUUUGAUGACUUUAAAAUUGCCAGAGGGUUCAACAGACAUCCCUAAUCAUUUCCAUCCAACUUCUAGCUAUUCCCAAAGCCUUAUCCACCCAGAAAUACAAUCAUUAAGGUUUACUGGGCUGAAGUGUGGGAGGGAAUGUAAGUGUCUGCUGUAUACAUUUAUGAGGUAAUGAAUUUUUUUAAAAGAUUAAAAGUUUAAGGUUUUUUUGUUUAGAUUGUUUGAAAACAUCCACUCUCCUAAUGUAAGUACCUCUGUGGAUAUAGCCAUAUCAAAAUAGUUAUGACAAAAUUUCAGGUAUUUCUAUUGGAAUAUAGGACAGUGGACAGGGAAGAGUUAAAUCAGCUGGCCUACUCUAUUUAUUCACACUAUUCAUGUCCUAUCGUGGGGAUGGUGUUGGGGUAUAGACCUGGGGGAACUAAAAGCAGACAGGCAACCCGGGUAACUUUGUCAGUAUGCUAACCAGACUUUCUAGUAAAUAGAUUAAUAAUAUUUGCUAGAACAUCCUUAUCUAUGGGAUCUUCUUAACAAGAUAUCUCUGUUUAAGGAUUGCCAGUAUGUCACAUAAACUGGGAUAUAAAAUGGACGUGUUUCAUAAAUGGAACAUCCUCACCGUGAGGAAUAAUCUUUAAAUAACUUUAUUACUGUGGGCCGCAGAGCACUUGUCUGAUGUCAAAAAGGAAGAUGUGGGAACCAUUCUCAAAACUCCAGGCCUCUAUUUAUUUCCAUUUGAGCCUCUUGAUUGCCUAUAUCUUUAACUUGAUUAGUAAAAUCUGUUAAUGGGCAAGAUCCUUGAUUCAUUUGAGUUUGAAAUGAUAAUGUGUUCCUUUAUGUUUUCUCAGGCAUCUCUGUGAGUCUGUGGUUUCAGAAAAGACUUUUUGUAAGAGCUAAGUCUGAAAGCCUUAGCUCAGUUUGCUUAGUCAAGAAGGGUGCAGCUGGAUAAAAAGAACAUGAACAAAAUUUUUAAAAAAGCCCAAAUAAUGGAACAACAAAAAAACUGUGAAGGAUAGUGUCAUUGGGAGUGACAAGAGGACAACUUCUAGAAUUAUUGCUGCAAAGAUCCGGUUAUCCUCACAGGGAGUGAGUGAAAAAAAGUGGGAAGAAACUAACUUAAUUCUAAGAAAUGAGAGGAUUACAGAUCCCAGAAGAUAAUCAAGUGCUUCAAGACAGUUGAUUAAGCCAAAUUAUAUGUGGUAGAGAAAGAUUUGUGGAGCAGUUUCAGAAUAUAUACACAUGUCUGUCUGUUGAAUGUAUUCCUUCCUCUUACAGGAAGGAAUUCCUUCCAGGGUCAUUGUAUGUGAUAAAGAUCACUUGUAAAUGAAAACUUUGGAGGUUACAGAAGAAGUAAAUGUCAGAAAUGAAGGAAAAUAAUAGCAGGUAAAGGAAAGAAAGGGAGGAAUCGCAGAAAUGAGAAAAACUGAAAAGGGAAGAAAGCAGAGACCACUAAUUAGAAGUCGAGCAUCUUGGAGGAUGAAAUUAUGCCAUAAUUUUCUUCCCUUGUAAGUGAUAUAUAUAUAUAUAUGUUGGAUUGAAUUUUGUCUAUUUUAUCUUCCUUAAGGUUUGUAUGACAAGUGAGGGAUCAAAAGAAGGGAGAAAGGAAGGACAGGCAGUUUGAAAGAUGAAUAAGAUUUGAAAACUCAAGAGGAAAUUGAGGGGAGUUUUUUUGUGAUGACAGGAUACUAUUCUAGUAAGGUUUAUAUGGCAAAGGAAGUUGAUUAGUAGUUCCAUGGUGAUGAAUAUUGCAGUGAACAUUUGCAACUGGACUGCUUGACACUCAGUCUAGAAGGGAGAAGUGGAGACCAUCUUUCUUUCCAGCCCCUGGCGGCACAUGGCCCAUGGACAGUGAAUGAGAUGCUCUGAAAGUGCAGAGGUCCCUUUAGGGUUAUUAGAAACAAGUAUGUUGGAGAAGCAAGUCCAGUGGCUUGGAGGUGAGUGUUCAGGCAGAGCAGCUGCAGUCGGAUGCUGAACAGACCAUUCCUCUGUCAGGAAAAGUAGCUAAGCAUCUUCUCCCUCAAUUAUUAUUGAGCCUAUUCUGCUAGGUUUUCAAUUAGUUUUGGGAGGUGACCCUUUACAAUAAACUCCUUUACUGCUUAAGUUAAUCUGAGUCAGUAUAUAACCAACAAAUACUCCUGGUGACUAUAAAUCAAAUAAAAUUAAUUUUUCCAAAAUACUUAAUUUUAUAACCUCAAAUUUUAACAUCCCUUUCUUAAUUUGUCAAGUCUGGGAAACAUUUGACAUGAGAGCAAGUGAAAAUAUCUCAGGUUUUAUAGUCAGGACACUUAGCUCUUUAGCCACUAUCUUUGUCAUCUUGGGCAAAUUACUUAGCCUCCGCCCUUAAUGAGUUUCCGCUUCUCUCAUGUGUCAUAUAGCAUCUUGGCUGCAGCUGAGAUGUUUCUGGAGCAUACGUUUUCCUUGGGGGGUCCUUUUCCGUUCAUUCAUAUGCCGGAGGGCAUUUGAAGAGAACAUUUCCUUGGUGUGUUAGGAAUGCAGGCAAGGAAAAUAAGAGGGAGAGACAGCAGAGUGUCUGUCUUCUUUGGGAUCUCUUCAACUGGGCUAAGCUUCUGUUUUCACAGGAACAACUAAAAAAGAGUUCAGGGACUAAUUCUCAUGGAAAGUCUUGAGACUGAACCAGUAUAGUGUUUCUAAAAGACCCCAGAAAUAAAGUGGAGUGAGAGCUAAAGAAAGAGUCUUAUCUUCUAUUUCUACAUGUUGUCCAGGGUCGUUUUUGAUGUCUUGAGGGGAUCCUAUCAGCAGGAGAUACAGAGAGACUCCUACUGACAUCAGCCUUCAUGCACACAUAUGAAAGGAGAAACCAUGUAGCUGAUCCAGCCUGGAGACCAUCGAUGACAGCCUGGAUGAUGGACACAGGUGAGGGGACUCCAUCAAAGAACAGACAAGACUUUGUUGUAGAAAAACAACAACAACAAAAAAAGAGGCUGACAUCCUAUAAUAAAUUUGUGUUUGGCAGAAUCCUAAGGUGGCCCCAAGAUUCCCACCUCUAGGUGUACAUAUUUUGUAUACUCGCUCACCCUCUGUCUUGAGUGUAGGCAGAACUUGUGAAUAUGAAGGAAUGUCACUCCGUGACAUCUUAGGUUAGAUGACAAAGGUUAUCCCCUCAGGGGAUCUUGAUUAUAGCUGCAAAAUCCCCUUUGUCAUCCCCUUUAAAUUAAUCAAAAGGGAAUAUGAGAGUGGUCUGCAGAUAACAAGUAGCAAGAAAAUGAAGACUUCGGUCCUGCAGCUGCAAGGAAACAAAUUCUGCCGACAAACGCGAGAAACUUUGCAGUGAAUCUUUUCCUGGUCAAGCAUCCAGGUUGAGAACUCAGCUCAGCCAAGACCUUGAUUUCAGACUUGUGAGAGCUUGCAUGGAGAACUCAGUGACUGUCUGUAGUUUAGGAGUUAAUUUUCUCACUCUGUGUAUUAACUGAGUCUGCUUGUAAUUUAUUGUUUCUGACUUUUUUAAAAAACUGUAAAUAUUCAUUGACUUUCUAACGGAUUGCCUUUGAUUGAUCGAUUGGUGAUGGAUGCUAAUGGAAUCUGUGACCCAUUCUUUACAAAUUACAGAUUUCAGAAAAGGAGAGAAGCCAAAAACGUUCACUUGAGAGUGUCAUUUGAAGAGGUAAGCCUCCUCAAUUGACAUAUGUGCCCAAACAUUUAGCUGCAUUAUUUUCUGAAGAGCCAGCAGACCAUUCUGGUGACACACUCUUUGCCUUAUUGUUUGCUACAUAAAAACCUGAAUGGAACUAAAUUAUAAACUAGGGCUAUAGAAUAAAUGCAGCAAUGAUGGCUUGAAUGGCUAAAACCUGAGAUGUCACUCUCAAUGAAAGGCAGUGUUUAUUCCACAGCUCAGAGUCACCAAUAGCAUGAGAUACUAAGAAAAUGAAAUAAACCCUAAGUUAGUAAAUUACAAGAAGUCAUUCUCAAAGUCCAUGUCUUGUCUGUCCUUUUGAUCAUAAGGUCAUUAUGAGAUACAAAUACUAACAUAUUUAAAAUUUAAUAAAAAAGAUUUUAAAAUGUAGUUCUCAAGAGUGGUCAGCAACCUUAAAAUUGGGGGCUGCAAACACAUUCCACUGGCAAAGGAUUAUGCAAGAUAAAUUGUUGAACUUUAAAAGACUAAUAAAUUAUAUUGCAGUUAAUUUUAUUAUCUUUUAAUCAACAAUGAAGUGGAUGCACUAUGUUUAAGUUUUUCAAGGAUUUUGAAUAGAAAAUUGUGUUUUCUGGUCAACUCCCAUCACCAAUAUUCUGGACACGAAAUUUGUUCCAUAUAAGAAAGUAGAAGAGAUGGUUCUGCUGUGCAGACACCUUAAAAAAUCCAGAAAUGUGGCAGAGGUGGUGGCCACCACUUGCUCCUCUUUUCUCGAUUUUCUGAGCUGGACUUUUAUUGAAGGAUAUAGGGAAAUUUGAAAAGAAAAUACUGCUUCUAAUCCUGCAGUCAUCUUCUGCUUUGGCUCUUGAGGGUUCGUUAUUCUGGAAGCUGGAAUGACAUUCAGUAGUGUACUCUGAAAAAUGGGAGGAGUUAAUGCGGUUUUUUAAGGUAUGAUUAUGGUCUCCACUUUCCUGUCUAAUUUUCUGUAGGGUAAUUCAACCUGUAUUUCCCCAUCUCUUAAUGAGAAUGAAUAGCUACACAGUCUGUUUCAGGGGCUUUAAUUGUUUCCUAGACAUUGCGGAUCUUUUCUAAUAGUGCUUGUGAUGCUUGAGACAAAGUCCCCAUUCUUGAAUGGUUUCUGCCAAUCCGACUUUGUGAAUAAACUCUAAUGACAAUAUUUUUGAGAAAACCAUCGUAAGAAUGCCAUCAAUGUCUUGGAAGUGAA
rnacentral:lncRNA from 1 species